rnacentral:lncRNA from 1 species
AUUCUUGGAUCUCUUUUUGGGGUCUCUGGAUCCUUUUUGGGGUCUCUGUGUCCUUUUUGGGGUUCCUUGAUAUUUUUGGGAUUCUUGGAUCCCUUUUUGGGGUUUCUGGAUCCCUUUUUGGGGUCUCUGGGUCCUUUUUGGGAUUCUUGGAUCUCUUUUUGGGGUCUCUGGGUCCUUUUUGGGAUUCUUGGAUCCCUUUUUGGGGUCUGUGGAUCCUUUUUGGGGUUUGUGGGUCCUUUUUGGGGUUCCUUGAUCUUUCUGGGGUCUCUGGGUCCUUUUUGGGGUCUCUGUGUCCUUUUUGGGGUUCCUUGAUCUUUCUGGGAUCUCUGGGUCCUUUUUGGGGUUCCUUGAUAUUUUUGGGAUUCUUGGAUCCCUUUUUGGGGUUUUUGGGUCCUUUUUGGGGUCUCUGGAUCCUUUUUGGGGUCUCUGUGUCCUUUUUGGGGUUCCUUGACUUUUCUGGGAUCUCUGGGUCCUUUUUGGGGUUCUUGGAUCCCUUUUUGGGGUCUCUGGAUCCUUUUUGGGGUCUCUGGGUCCUUUUUGGGGUCUUUGGGGCCUUUUUGGGGUUCCUUGAUUUUUCUCGGAUCUCUGGGUCCUUUUUGGGGUCUGUGGGUCCUUUUUGGGAUUCUUGGAUCCCUUUUGGGUGUUUCUGGAUCCUUUUGGGGGUCUCUGGGUCCUUUUUGGGAUUCUUGGAUCCCUUUUUGGGGUCUCUGGGUCCUUUUUGGGGUCUCUGGGUUUUUGGGGGGUUCCUUGAUCUUUUUGGGGUCUCUGUGCCCUUUUUGGGGUCGCCGUGCGUCGCGGUGACCCCACACUUCCCAUAGGACCCUACACGUUCAGCAUUGGGGACACCAGCAGCUUUGGGGAUUACGUGCGGGGCGGGAUCGUCACGCAGGUCAAGAUGCCCAAACACAUCCGCUUUGUGAGUGCCUGCGUGGGAUUAGGGGGGAUUAUGGGGGAUUACGGGGGAUUAGGGGGGUUUAUGGGGUGCUGGGAGGGGAGAUUGUGGG